UAUAUAGAAGUAGGUGGAUACACAAAUUUUUGAUAUUUGAGAAAAAAGUUCAAUUCUUUUUUAUAUGG
rnacentral:tRNA from 1 species